rnacentral:rRNA from 1 species
UGGGGAAUAUUGCACAAUGGGGGAAACCCUGAUGCAGCGACGCCGCGUGAGCGAAGAAGGUUUUCGAAUGGUAAAGCUCUGCCCUAUGGGAAGAUAAUGACGGUACCAUAGGAGGAAGCCCCGGCUAACUACGUGCCAGCAGCCGCGGUAAUACGUAGGGGGCAAGCGUUGUCCGGAAUCACUGGGCGUAAAGGGUUCGCAGGCGGAAAUGCAAGUCAGUUGUGAAAGGCAGAGGCUCAACCUCUGUAAGCAAUUGAAACUGUAUUUCUUGAGAUGUGGAGAGGCAAGUGGGAUUCCUAGUGUAGCGGUGAAAUGCGUAGAUAUUAGGAAGAAUACCGGUGGCGAAGGCGACUUGCUGGACACAAACUGACGCUGAGGAACGAAAGCGUGGGUAGCAAACAGG